UCUAAUAUGGCAGAUUAGUGCAAUAGACUUAAGAUCUAAAAAUAAAGAUUUAAACUUUUAUUAGAA
rnacentral:tRNA from 1 species